GAUGAGAACGUAGCGAAAUGCGAUAAGUAAUGUGAAUUGCAGAAUUCAGUGAAUCAUCGAAUCUUUGAACGCACAUUGCGCCCGUCAGUAUUCUGGCGGGCAUGCCUAUUCGAGCGUCAUUACGCCCCUCAAGUCCCCUGUGGACUUGGUGUUGGGGAUCGGCGAGGCUGGUUUUCCAGCACAGCCGUCCCUUAAAUUAAUUGGCGGUCUCGCCGUGGCCCUCCUCUGCGCAGUAGUAAAACACUCGCAACAGGAGCCCGGCGCGGUCCACUGCCGUAAAACCCCCCAACUUUUUAUAGUUGACCUCGAAUCAGGUAGGACUACCCGCUGAACUUAAGCAUAUCAAUAAGCGGAGGA
rnacentral:misc_RNA from 1 species